rnacentral:rRNA from 1 species
AGCGUACACGGUGGAUGCCCUGGCAGUCAGAGGCGAUGAAGGACGUGCUAAUCUGCGAUAAGCGUCGGUAAGGUGAUAUGAACCGUUAUAACCGGCGAUUUCCGAAUGGGGAAACCCAGUGUGAUUCGUCACACUAUCAUUAACUGAAUCCAUAGGUUAAUGAGGCGAACCGGGGGAACUGAAACAUCUAAGUACCCCGAGGAAAAGAAAUCAACCGAGAUUCCCCCAGUAGCGGCGAGCGAACGGGGAGCAGCCCAGAGCCUGAAUCAGUGUGUGUGUUAGUGGAAGCGUCUGGAAAGGCGCGCGAUACAGGGUGACAGCCCCGUACACAAAAAUGCACAUGCUGUGAGCUCGAUGAGUAGGGCGGGACACGUGGUAUCCUGUCUGAAUAUGGGGGGACCAUCCUCCAAGGCUAAAUACUCCUGACUGACCGAUAGUGAACCAGUACCGUGAGGGAAAGGCGAAAAGAACCCCGGCGAGGGGAGUGAAAAAGAACCUGAAACCGUGUACGUACAAGCAGUGGGAGCACAGAGCAAUCUGUGUGACUGCGUACCUUUUGUAUAAUGGGUCAGCGACUUAUAUUCUGUAGCAAGGUUAACCGAAUAGGGGAGCCGAAGGGAAACCGAGUCUUAACUGGGCGUUAAGUUGCAGGGUAUAGACCCGAAACCCGGUGAUCUAGCCAUGGGCAGGUUGAAGGUUGGGUAACACUAACUGGAGGACCGAACCGACUAAUGUUGAAAAAUUAGCGGAUGACUUGUGGCUGGGGGUGAAAGGCCAAUCAAACCGGGAGAUAGCUGGUUCUCCCCGAAAGCUAUUUAGGUAGCGCCUCGUGAAUUCAUCUCCGGGGGUAGAGCACUGUUUCGGCAAGGGGGUCAUCCCGACUUACCAACCCGAUGCAAACUGCGAAUACCGGAGAAUGUUAUCACGGGAGACACACGGCGGGUGCUAACGUCCGUCGUGAAGAGGGAAACAACCCAGACCGCCAGCUAAGGUCCCAAAGUCAUGGUUAAGUGGGAAACGAUGUGGGAAGGCCCAGACAGCCAGGAUGUUGGCUUAGAAGCAGCCAUCAUUUAAAGAAAGCGUAAUAGCUCACUGGUCGAGUCGGCCUGCGCGGAAGAUGUAACGGGGCUAAACCAUGCACCGAAGCUGCGGCAGCGACGCUUAUGCGUUGUUGGGUAGGGGAGCGUUCUGUAAGCCUGCGAAGGUGUGCUGUGAGGCAUGCUGGAGGUAUCAGAAGUGCGAAUGCUGACAUAAGUAACGAUAAAGCGGGUGAAAAGCCCGCUCGCCGGAAGACCAAGGGUUCCUGUCCAACGUUAAUCGGGGCAGGGUGAGUCGACCCCUAAGGCGAGGCCGAAAGGCGUAGUCGAUGGGAAACAGGUUAAUAUUCCUGUACUUGGUGUUACUGCGAAGGGGGGACGGAGAAGGCUAUGUUGGCCGGGCGACGGUUGUCCCGGUUUAAGCGUGUAGGCUGGUUUUCCAGGCAAAUCCGGAAAAUCAAGGCUGAGGCGUGAUGACGAGGCACUACGGUGCUGAAGCAACAAAUGCCCUGCUUCCAGGAAAAGCCUCUAAGCAUCAGGUAACAUCAAAUCGUACCCCAAACCGACACAGGUGGUCAGGUAGAGAAUACCAAGGCGCUUGAGAGAACUCGGGUGAAGGAACUAGGCAAAAUGGUGCCGUAACUUCGGGAGAAGGCACGCUGAUAUGUAGGUGAAGUCCCUCGCGGAUGGAGCUGAAAUCAGUCGAAGAUACCAGCUGGCUGCAACUGUUUAUUAAAAACACAGCACUGUGCAAACACGAAAGUGGACGUAUACGGUGUGACGCCUGCCCGGUGCCGGAAGGUUAAUUGAUGGGGUUAGCGCAAGCGAAGCUCUUGAUCGAAGCCCCGGUAAACGGCGGCCGUAACUAUAACGGUCCUAAGGUAGCGAAAUUCCUUGUCGGGUAAGUUCCGACCUGCACGAAUGGCGUAAUGAUGGCCAGGCUGUCUCCACCCGAGACUCAGUGAAAUUGAACUCGCUGUGAAGAUGCAGUGUACCCGCGGCAAGACGGAAAGACCCCGUGAACCUUUACUAUAGCUUGACACUGAACAUUGAGCCUUGAUGUGUAGGAUAGGUGGGAGGCUUUGAAGUGUGGACGCCAGUCUGCAUGGAGCCGACCUUGAAAUACCACCCUUUAAUGUUUGAUGUUCUAACGUGGACCCGUAAUCCGGGUUGCGGACAGUGUCUGGUGGGUAGUUUGACUGGGGCGGUCUCCUCCUAAAGAGUAACGGAGGAGCACGAAGGUUGGCUAAUCCUGGUCGGACAUCAGGAGGUUAGUGCAAUGGCAUAAGCCAGCUUGACUGCGAGCGUGACGGCGCGAGCAGGUGCGAAAGCAGGUCAUAGUGAUCCGGUGGUUCUGAAUGGAAGGGCCAUCGCUCAACGGAUAAAAGGUACUCCGGGGAUAACAGGCUGAUACCGCCCAAGAGUUCAUAUCGACGGCGGUGUUUGGCACCUCGAUGUCGGCUCAUCACAUCCUGGGGCUGAAGUAGGUCCCAAGGGUAUGGCUGUUCGCCAUUUAAAGUGGUACGCGAGCUGGGUUUAGAACGUCGUGAGACAGUUCGGUCCCUAUCUGCCGUGGGCGCUGGAGAACUGAGGGGGGCUGCUCCUAGUACGAGAGGACCGGAGUGGACGCAUCACUGGUGUUCGGGUUGUCAUGCCAAUGGCACUGCCCGGUAGCUAAAUGCGGAAGAGAUAAGUGCUGAAAGCAUCUAAGCACGAAACUUGCCCCGAGAUGAGUUCU